rnacentral:lncRNA from 1 species
UGGAGUCUGAUGACCAAGGGCAGGAAGCAUCCAGCACGGGACAAAGAAGAAAGCCAGAAGACUCAGCAAGCCAGCUCAUCUCACUUUCUUCUGCCUACUUUGUUGUAGCUGAGCUGGCAGCCAGUUGGAUGGUGCACACUCACAUUGAGGAUUGGGAGGCUGCUGUGUAUGGAUAAGAUACCUGCUACAGCCAGCUUGACACCAUGAGAAGGACAAGAGAAUUGCAGAGACACAUAUCCAGGAUUCUGAUCCAGUUGAGGCACUGAAAUAAUCUAGAACCACCUUCAAAUUUCUUAUAAAGAGAGCUAUGCUAUUAGGAUUUAAUUAAAUGGAUGCCAACAGCAAGUAAACCAUCUCCAAAGAUGCCAUGAAGCUCUCCUAAUUGCAGGAAAAUAUCAGAGGCACUUGAUUUGAGUCUUUCAAGUACGGAAAUAACAAAUUCAGUCUCAACAGACCUAUAGUGAAUGAGAAUGAUUGUCACAUAAUGUGUAGAGAAAAUGGAAGAAUCAAAGGCAAGGGAAACCUGUACAGUGGAGACACAAAGGGUCACUGGCAGAUUUCAAAUGAUCCAAGACAUCCUCAAGACAUUGAGAUCUGCUGGUUGGAGAUCUUAGUGCCCAAGGAAGAAUGCUUGCAAAAGGAGAUGGAACAGUGUUUCUGUUGCAUUGGCCACUGAGAAUAUCUGGUUAUUUUGAAUUUGUCACAGUCUGCAGCUAAAAGGCGAACAGGAAAAGAAGAGAGAGCGGUAAUUUGAAUGAUAGCAGAUUUCACAUCAGGAACCAAUGAAGCUAGAUAAGAAUGCAACAUCUUUGAUGUCUAAAAGAAACAAAAAGCCAACCUUGAAUUCUUUAUUUAGUGAAGUUACCCUUCAGAAAUGACGGCAAAAUAAAGAUGUUUUCCAAUAAAAGACAACUAUGAGAAUUCUUCACCAGCAGUCCUAUUGUAUCAGAACAGCCAAAAGAAGUUUGUCAGCCUACAGGGAAUUAUAUCAAAGGGAAGACUUGACCUUGAAAAUGAAUGAGGAAUAUAAGAAAUUGAUAUUAUCUGGGAAGCGGCACAUGAGACUAGCAGGAGUAAAUGUUAUAUACACUGGGCCUCGCAAAAAUUCUGCAAUCACUGGGAAUCAGUAACCUGGUAGAAUGAGAAAACAACGUAAUACUGAAAAAUCAAAACACCAUCCUACAGAACUUUGAUGCAUUCAGAACAAAGAUCACGAAUCAAGCUGAAAAAGUAAAGCAUUCUGUGAGUUGUGGAAUGGAAAUUGCCUCAACCAUCUCACCACUUGAUGACACUUGUAAUUUCAGUGACCCAAUUCAAGCAAUCAAACAUCAAGUAAUACUCUCAAUAAAGAUGUGUAAUUAAAACAGAAGAGGAAACAGACUAACAGAAGUGAUGAAGAAUGGCAGUUCUAAGGAUGGCAGGAAUUCACUGAAUGUCUAUCUAUCAUGUAUGCUGUUGGAGGCACCUGUCUUUCAGUUCAGAGGUUAUGGAUGUAUCUAUCAUCAGUAUUUCGGGAAGUCAGGGACCCGGAACAGAGGGACUUAAUGAAGCUGUGGCAGAAGAAAAAAUUAUGAAGAUUUCAUGGACAUUUAUUAGUUCCCCAAAUUAAUACUUUUAUAAUUUCUUACA